UACGUAGGGGGCAAGCGUUGUCCGGAUUUAUUGGGCGUAAAGAGCGUGUAGGCGGCUGGGUAGGUCCGUUGUGAAAACUCGAGGCUCAACCUCGAGACGCCGAUGGAAACCCUCCAGCUAGAGUCCGGAAGAGGAGAGUGGAAUUCCUGGUGUAGCGGUGAAAUGCGCAGAUAUCAGGAAGAACACCCGUGGCUAAGGCGGCUCUCUAGUACGGUACUGACGCUGAGACGCGAAAGCGUGGGGAGCGAACAGA
rnacentral:rRNA from 1 species